rnacentral:rRNA from 1 species
GACGAACGCUGGCGGCGUGCUUAACACAUGCAAGUCGAGCGGUAAGGCCCUUUCGGGGGUACGACGAGCGGCGAACGGGUGAGUAACACGUGGGUGACCUGCCCUCAGCUCUGGGAUAAGCCUGGGAAACCGGGGUCUAAUACCGGAUAUGACUCCAUGACGCAUGUUGUGGGGUGGAAAGCCUUGUGCGGCUGAGGAUGGGCCC